rnacentral:rRNA from 1 species
AGAGUUUGAUCAUGGCUCAGGACGAACGCUGGCGGCACGCUUAACACAUGCAAGUCGAACGAGAGAAGAGGAGCUUGCUUUUCUGAUCUAGUGGCGGACGGGUGAGUAACACGUGAGCAAUCUGCCUUUCAGAGGGGGAUACCGAUUGGAAACGAUCGUUAAUACCGCAUAACAUAAUUGAACCGCAUGAUUUGAUUAUCAAAGAUUUAUCGCUGAAAGAUGAGCUCGCGUCUGAUUAGCUAGUUGGUAAGGUAACGGCUUACCAAGGCGACGAUCAGUAGCCGGACUGAGAGGUUGAUCGGCCACAUUGGGACUGAGACACGGCCCAGACUCCUACGGGAGGCAGCAGUGGGGAAUAUUGCACAAUGGAGGAAACUCUGAUGCAGCGAUGCCGCGUGAGGGAAGAAGGUUUUAGGAUUGUAAACCUCUGUCUUCAGGGACGAAAAAAGACGGUACCUGAGGAGGAAGCUCCGGCUAACUACGUGCCAGCAGCCGCGGUAAUACGUAGGGAGCGAGCGUUGUCCGGAAUUACUGGGUGUAAAGGGAGCGUAGGCGGGAUCGCAAGUCAGAUGUGAAAACUAUGGGCUUAACCCAUAAACUGCAUUUGAAACUGUGGUUCUUGAGUGAAGUAGAGGUAAGCGGAAUUCCUAGUGUAGCGGUGAAAUGCGUAGAUAUUAGGAGGAACAUCAGUGGCGAAGGCGGCUUACUGGGCUUUAACUGACGCUGAGGCUCGAAAGCGUGGGGAGCAAACAGGAUUAGAUACCCUGGUAGUCCACGCCGUAAACGAUGAUUACUAGGUGUGGGGGGACUGACCCCUUCCGUGCCGCAGCAAACGCAAUAAGUAAUCCACCUGGGGAGUACGACCGCAAGGUUGAAACUCAAAGGAAUUGACGGGGGCCCGCACAAGCAGUGGAGUAUGUGGAUUAAUUCGAAGCAACGCGAAGAACCUUACCAGGUCUUGACAUCGUAUGCAUAGCUCAGAGAUGAGUGAAAUCUCUUCGGAGACAUAUAGACAGGUGGUGCAUGGUUGUCGUCAGCUCGUGUCGUGAGAUGUUGGGUUAAGUCCCGCAACGAGCGCAACCCUUACUGUUAGUUGCUACGCAAGAGCACUCUAGCAGGACUGCCGUUGACAAAACGGAGGAAGGUGGGGAUGACGUCAAAUCAUCAUGCCCCUUAUGACCUGGGCCUCACACGUACUACAAUGGCUGUCAACAGAGGGAAGCAAAGCCGCGAGGUGGAGCGAACCCCUAAAAGCAGUCUUAGUUCGGAUUGUAGGCUGCAACCCGCCUACAUGAAGUCGGAAUUGCUAGUAAUCGCAGAUCAGCAUGCUGCGGUGAAUACGUUCCCGGGCCUUGUACACACCGCCCGUCACGCCAUGGGAGUCGGUAACACCCGAAGCCUGUAGUCUAACCGCAAGGAGGACGCAGUCGAAGGUGGGAUUGAUGACUGGGGUGAAGUCGUAACAAGGUA